rnacentral:lncRNA from 1 species
ACCUGCAAGCCACAGAACAGGACAACAAGGACUGCUGCUUCUUCAUUCUGCCUCACAGAGCCGGACUGGGCAGAAUACUCUCCUGAGGACAGGGGAGACUCAAGGCCACAUCAUUCCAACGGGUAGAGAGAACUGCAGAGUGGACCACAAAUUAUACAAGUAAAAAGAAGCUGAGCCCGAGUUAGCAAUGUCUGCUGCGUUCUCACAUCGGAUCCUGUGCACAGCACAUACGCACUAUCAAAUC